rnacentral:lncRNA from 1 species
AUGUGGAACUCAGAAAGCUCAGAGGAUUUAUGGACCACUGGGUCUUACAAGAUACCAAGGGACUUACGGCCUACCUCUUUCUCAUUAUUAAGUUCCACUGAGAAGAAAACAUAUGUGUUCCUAGGAAUUUAUGUAAGAUGCAAAGGUCUGAGAACAGAUUGGAGCAAAUGCACAAGCAAUGGGAAGUAAACAGUUAAGGGCGAACAAACUUGAAAAAAUGAAUCUAAUAGGUUUUUAUGGCUCCUGAGACAGAAAUGUGUGCCCAAGUUCAUCAACAUCUUUGUUUUCGUCUCCCUGGGCACAUGGCAACACUUCAUCUUCUGGGUAAGGCUAUGCAGUGGAGUUCUGGCCAAUUGAAUGAGAACUGGAGUGAUACGUGCCACUUUAGGAAUGACCUAUAAAAGCUGCCGUAUGUGAUCACCGUUCUUUUUUCCCUGUUUUUCUUUCUCAUCAGCUAGCUUGAAAGAAAGAAGUUUGAGGGUCAAUAUGAAGAGAAACCACCAGAGUGAAGGUGCGUGGGUUAUGAAUGACUCUGCGGAACAGAGCCCCCCCCAUCAUCACAUUGGGCUGAGAUGAGCAAGAAAUAACAGUAUGUUAAGCUGCUGUAAUUUGAGGGUUGUUUGUUAUAGAAAUUAGGCUACCUUGAGUAGUAUAGUGCUACUGGCUUUCUUUUCAGCUGCUAAAUAUAGCAGAGACGUUUACUUCCUAAAUUACUUCUUUCUUGAUAUUCUUAUUAUCAGUGACUUUUAAAGUAAGGAAACCAAGAAGCUACAUAAAGAUACAAGUUUUCUUGGCAAUCAGUCCCUCCCUAUGUAAACAGUCUCGUCAGGGCAUUCGUUACCUCAUUUAUUCUGCACACCGACUCUGAAGGUCCUGAGAGAGAAGGAAGCUGAGGAUAGGGAGAUUAAGUAACUUGGACAAGAUCACACAGCUGGUGUUUCCUUUGGAUCCAGGAUUAAAACUCCCAUCUUUAUGACCUCAAAGUCCUUGUUGUUUUCACUACAGAGUGCUCGUUUUUAAGAAAAGAACAGUCAAGAAAGGGAGUAUGUACAGAGAGAGUGCAUAAGACUUUCUAGAGAGGCAGCAAAACCUUGACAAAAAUAUAAUAACUGAGGACCAGGUCAUACUUCAGACACUCUACGAGAGACCAUAAAACAAAACGUUUAAAACAAGGAAAGAAGGUAAUCAU